rnacentral:rRNA from 1 species
AUUGAACGCUGGCGGCAGGCCUAACACAUGCAAGUCGAGCGGAUGAAGGGAGCUUGCUCCUGGAUUCAGCGGCGGACGGGUGAGUAAUGCCUAGGAAUCUGCCUGGUAGUGGGGGAUAACGUCCGGAAACGGGCGCUAAUACCGCAUACGUCCUGAGGGAGAAAGUGGGGGAUCUUCGGACCUCACGCUAUCAGAUGAGCCUAGGUCGGAUUAGCUAGUUGGUGGGGUAAAGGCCUACCAAGGCGACGAUCCGUAACUGGUCUGAGAGGAUGAUCAGUCACACUGGAACUUAGACACGGUCCAGACUCCUACGGGAGGCAGCAGUUGGGAAUAUUGGACCAUGGGCGAAAGCCUGAUCCAGCCAUGCCGCGUGUGGGAAGAAGGUCUUCGGAUUGUAAAGCACUUUAAGUUGGGAGGAAGGGCAGUAAGUUAAUACCUUGCUGUUUUGACGUUACCAACAGAAUAAGCACCGGCUAACUUCGUG